rnacentral:rRNA from 1 species
UACGUAGGCAGCGAGCGUUGUUCGGAGUUACUGGGCGUAAAGGGUGUGUAGGCGGUUUUCUAAGUUUGGUGUGAAAUCUCCCGGCUCAACCGGGAGGGUGCGCCGAAAACUGGGAGACUAGAGUGCGGGAUGGGAGAGUAGAAUUCCUGGUGUAGCGGUGAAAUGCGUAGAUAUCAGGAGGAAUACCGGUGGUGUAGACGGCUCUCUGGACCGCCACUGACGCUGAGACACGAAAGCGUGGGUAGCAAACAGGAUUAGAUACCCUGGUAGUCCACGCCCUAAACGAUGCAUAUUUGGUGUAGGUCAUUCAGUUGAUCUGUGCCGGAGCUAACGCGUUAAAUAUGCCGCCUGGGGAGUACAGUCGCAAGGCUGAA